CCAGGGCCGUCUUUAACGCGGGGCAAACGGGGCAGCUGCCCCGGGCCCAAUUACUCCUGGGGGCCCAAGGCAGCUGUCCCGUGGGCCCCACUGCCCUAAAAAAAUAAAAUGUUUCCCGGCCGCUUUAGGGCCCCCCCGCACUGUAAGGAGUCCCACCGGGUGGCCCAUGCACUUAGGGCCACCCGGUGGGCUUGUACCAGCAGGGGCCCGGUCGGGCGCUGUGGCCCUUUAACAGCGCGACCGGGCCUCUUGCUUUUCGGCACCGCUGGGAGGAAGUGAGUGCCAAGCGUCACUUCCUCCCAUAAAGAGCUGCUGCGCGGGAGAAGAAGGACCUGCACGGGAGGGAGGAGGAGGCAGUGAGGAUGGGGGCUCCUCACUCACAUCAUCCUCAGGCAGCACACUGGAUCCCAGGGAUGCCACCCUCCAGCAAAAGGUAGGAAACUGGAGGGUGGGCUUAAAAUGUAAAUUUUACAUGUAUGUCAGUUUGUCUGUGUGUAUGUGUGUCAGUAUGUCUGAUAGUGUAUGUGUCUGUGUGUGUCAGUAUGUCUGUGUGUAUGUGUGUCAGUAUGUCUGUGUGUAUGUGUGUCAGUAUGUCUGAUAGUGUGUGUGUGUUAGUAUGUCUGACAGUGUGUCUGUGUGUGUGUGUGUGUGUGUCAGUAUGUCUGACAGUGUAUGUGUCUGUGUGUGUCAGUAUGUCUGUGUAUGUCAGUAUGUCUGAUAGUGUAUGUGUGUAUGUCAGUAUGUUUGACAGUGUCUGUAUCUGUGUGUGUGUGUCAGAAGGUCUGUGUGAGUGUAUGUCAGUAUGUAUCUGUGUGUCAGUAUGUCUCUGUGUGUGUCAGUAUGUCUGGUGUGUGUGUGUGUGUGUGUGUCAGUAUGUCUGACAGUGUGUCUGUGUAUGUCUGAUAGUGUAUGUCAGUAUGUUUGACAGUGUCUGUAUCUGUGUGUGUGUCAGAAGGUCUGUGUGAGUGUAUGUCAGUAUGUCUGACAGUGUAUGUCUCUGUGUGUGUCAGUAUGUCUCUGUGUGUGUCAGUAUGUCUGGUGUGUGUGUGU